rnacentral:snRNA from 1 species
GAUGAUGAAGACCAAACAAUUGACAAGCAUAUGUCUGAGCAUC